AGGUCUAUAGUUUAAUUGGUAAAACAAUAGCCUUCAAAGCUAUCUUUAAGAGUUCAAGUCUUUUUAGACCUG
rnacentral:tRNA from 1 species